GAGGAACACGUGUGGCGAAAGCGGCUCACUGGACCAUAACUGACGUUGAUGCAUGAAAGCUAGGGGAGCAAACAGGAUUAGAUACCCUGCUAGUCCUAGCCUUACACGAUGACCUGCUUGGUGUGGCGGGUACCCAAUCCCGUCGUGCCGUAGCUAACGCGUUAAGCAGUCUGUCUGGGGAGUACGGUCGCAAGGCUGAAACUCGAAGGAAUUGACGGGGGCCCGCACAAGCGGUGGAGCAUGUGGUUUAAUUUGACGCAACGCGAAGAACCUUACCUGGGCUCGAAAUGCAGUGGACCGGGGUGGAAACAUCCCUUCCCCGCAAGGGGCUGCUGUAUAGGUGCUGCAUGGCUGUCGUCGGCUCGUGUCGUGAGAUGUUGGGUUAAGUCCCGCAACGAGCGCAACCCUUAUCCCCAGUUGCCAUCAUUUAGUUGGGCACUCUGGUGAAACCGCCUCGGAUAACGGGGAGGAAGGUGGGGAUGACGUCAAGUCCUCAUGGCCUUUAUGUCCAGGGCUACACUCGUGCUACAAUGGCCGGUACAAACCGUCGCAAACCCGUGAGGGGGAGCUAAUCGGAAAAAGCCGUCCUCAGUUCGGAUUUCAGUCUGCAACCCGACUGUAUGAAGCUGGAAUCGCUAGUAAUCGCGGAUCAGAAUGCCGCGGUGAAUACGUUCCCGGGCCUGGUACACACCGCCCGUCACAUCACGAAAGUGGGUUGCACUAGAAGCCGGUGAGCCAACCGCAAGGAGGCAGCCGUCCAAGGUGUAAUUCAUGAUUGGGGUG
rnacentral:rRNA from 1 species